AAGCAUGUCAGCAUGCCAGCAGCCCUAACAUACCAGCACUGUUGUACAUUUUUCUCCAAAGUUACCUGACAAAGGAAAGUUUUAAGACAGCUUUUAGAAGAGGAGGAAGAAUUUCAUAUUGCAUAUUGCAUAGGUUGUCUUUGCUGAGUGCAAAAGGCUGCCUGACAGACAGCAUGGAAAUGUUUACUUCGAAAUGGAACAAGUAGAUGAUGCAAGGGCCAACACACACAGCUGAUCAGAAGGAAAAAUAAACAGGUAUUUGGAUCCUUCAUGAAAAGAAGGACACAGGUUUUGAGAAACAAAUCAAAGAUGGCAAAAAAGGAAAGGACUGGGAUAAGUGUCACACUAAAUAUGAAAGGAAGCAGGAAGAUGUUGCUGAUGUGAAAAGAGGAUUUAUCCAAGUGGAAGGAAAGGGAGAUGAGGAUGAAAAGGACUGAAGAGCGAGUGAAGCUGGAGAUAACAUGCAGAAGAGGAAAAGAGAUCAGAAGAGAAAGAAUCAAAAAGGAGGAAGACAAAUACUUAAGUCAGAGGGAAUGAAAACCAUUGGCAGUGGACAACAAUGGGAAAAACAGUCUGUGCUAUGAAUAGUGUGUACACUAUGCAUAGUGUAUUGUGCCCAUCAUGACCCAGAAACCAUAUCCGCCUCUGUGCACAUUUUUGUCAGACAAUUAUAAUGAAGUUUUUGUGUUUCUGUAUCAAGGGUGAUGCAUUGUUGUGAUGUUGUCAUCCAGAUUCUUAAGAAAUGUGCUGACACCAUUUGUUCUUUUGGCGCAGGCUCAGCUGAGCCCUUGUGGCAUCACUGGUAGGGACCACUUCCCAUCAAUGGGAAUGAGGUAGCAGUUUGUUUGUACAGUGUGGUUGUCCAGGGGAUAGAGCAAAAAGCAAUCUUUUCUCCUGUGCUAGGAUUAACUCCACAGCAACAGAGUGGCAGAGACUGCAGCCAGAACUGCUUAAUUCCUGCCACAUAAGAAUCUUUGUUAUUGGUACAGUAGGUGUUUAUGUGGAAGGAAAAAUAGUCUAUUAAAUGUAAUGCUUCCCAUAAGGGGAGAAGUCUUGGCCCCAAGUUUUGCUGGCUGCAUUUAUUUCCCACAGUUAGAAUUGACAAUGUUAUUUGAGAAUAAAACUGCUGUAGCUUGCAGAAAGUAGAUUUUCCUAUUUAUCUAGCGAUCACUGUUUCAGCAAGGCUUCCUUCUACAAGCAGCACACUGUUGUACCUGGUGACAUGGCCUAUUGAAAUUCCUGCAAAAAUAAAAUGCUCACAUAUUUAACUCA